rnacentral:tRNA from 1 species
GCCUUCGUGGUGUAGUGGUCAGCACGCUCGACGCGUAACCGAGAGGUCCGUGGUUCGAAUCCCAGCAAAGGCA